GGGUUGUGAGGUUAAGCGACCAAGCGUACACGGUGGAUGCCCUGGCAGUCAGAGGCGAUGAAGGACGUGCUAAUCUGCGAAAAGCGCCGGUAAGGUGAUAUGAACCGUUAUAACCGGCGAUGUCCGAAUGGGGAAACCCAGUGUGACUCGUCACACUAUCAUUAACUGAAUCCAUAGGUUAAUGAGGCGAACCGGGGGAACUGAAACAUCUAAGUACCCCGAGGAAAAGAAAUCAACCGAGAUUCCCCCAGUAGCGGCGAGCGAACGGGGAGCAGCCCAGAGCCUGAAUCAGCAUGUGUGUUAGUGGAAGCGUCUGGAAAGGCGCGCGACACAGGGUGACAGCCCCGUACACAAAAGCGCAUGUGCUGUGAGCUCGAUGAGUAGGGCGGGACACGUGGUAUCCUGUCUGAAUAUGGGGGGACCAUCCUCCAAGGCUAAAUACUCCUGACUGACCGAUAGUGAACCAGUACCGUGAGGGAAAGGCGAAAAGAACCCCGGCGAGGGGAGUGAAACAGAACCUGAAACCGUGUACGUACAAGCAGUGGGAGCCCCACCACUAAGCCAGUGGUGAACUCCACAUACGCAUCCUUUGCGGAAGAUGCGGUUAACGGAGCGAAAGCGACGUUCAACCUAAAAAGAAGCAGAGGGGGCUUAGUGGUGGGGUGACUGCGUACCUUUUGUAUAAUGGGUCAGCGACUUAUAUUCUGUAGCAAGGUUAACCGAAUAGGGGAGCCGCAGGGAAACCGAGUCUUAAUUGGGCGUUAAGUUGCAGGGUAUAGACCCGAAACCCGGUGAUCUAGCCAUGGGCAGGUUGAAGGUUGGGUAACACUAACUGGAGGACCGAACCGACUAAUGUUGAAAAAUUAGCGGAUGACCUGUGGCUGGGGGUGAAAGGCCAAUCAAACCGGGAGAUAGCUGGUUCUCCCCGAAAGCUAUUUAGGUAGCGCCUCGUGAACUCAUCUCCGGGGGUAGAGCACUGUUUCGGCCAGGGGGCCAUCCCGGCUUACCAACCCGAUGCAAACUGCGAAUACCGGAGAAUGUUAUCACGGGAGACACACGGCGGGUGCUAACGUCCGUCGUGAAGAGGGAAACAACCCAGACCGCCAGCUAAGGUCCCAAAGUCAUGGUUAAGUGGGAAACGAUGUGGGAAGGCCCAGACAGCCAGGAUGUUGGCUUAGAAGCAGCCAUCAUUUAAAGAAAGCGUAAUAGCUCACUGGUCGAGUCGGCCUGCGCGGAAGAUGUAACGGGGCUAAACCAUGCACCGAAGCUGCGGCAGCGAACGUAUCACUUAAAGCGAUUCAGCGGAUGACGAUUGACGGAGCGAAGCGACGUCAAAGCGUUUUACAACGUCGAGUCGGUUUAAGGAUACGUUCGUUGGGUAGGGGAGCGUUCUGUAAGCCUGCGAAGGUGUGUCGUGAGGCAUGCUGGAGGUAUCAGAAGUGCGAAUGCUGACAUAAGUAACGAUAAUGCGGGUGAAAAACCCGCACGCCGGAAGACCAAGGGUUCCUGUCCAACGUUAAUCGGGGCAGGGUGAGUCGACCCCUAAGGCGAGGCCGAAAGGCGUAGUCGAUGGGAAACAGGUUAAUAUUCCUGUACCUGGUGUUACUGCGAAGGGGGGACGGAGAAGGCUAUGUUGGCCGGGCGACGGUUGUCCCGGUUUAAGCGUGUAGGCUGGUUUUCCAGGCAAAUCCGGAAAAUCAAGGCUGAGGCGUGA
rnacentral:rRNA from 1 species